ACUCUAGUUUGACAUUGUGAAGAAUCAUGAGAGGUGUAGCAUAGGAAAUCGUGUUCGCGCAUGAUCGUCAAUGAAAUACCACAACUUUUAUCGAUUCUUUACUUAUUCGGUGAAAAGAGAAUUGAGUUUUAUGACUCUUUACUUAUUUGUGUUAAGUAAAGUCAUAUGAUGGCAUUACGACUCUCGCCGAAGACAUUGUCAGGCGGGAAGU
rnacentral:ncRNA from 1 species